GACGAACGCUGGCGGCGUGCUUAACACAUGCAAGUCGUACGGAAAGGCCCUGCUUUUGUGGGGUGCUCGAGUGGCGAACGGGUGAGUAACACGUGAGUAACCUGCCCUUGACUUUGGGAUAACUUCAGGAAACUGGGGCUAAUACCGGAUAGGAGCUCCUGCUGCAUGGUGGGGGUUGGAAAGUUUCGGCGGUUGGGGAUGGACUCGCGGCUUAUCAGCUUGUUGGUGGGGUAGUGGCUUACCAAGGCUUUGACGGGUAGCCGGCCUGAGAGGGUGACCGGCCACAUUGGGACUGAGAUACGGCCCAGACUCCUACGGGAGGCAGCAGUGGGGAAUAUUGCACAAUGGGCGGAAGCCUGACGCAGCAACGCCGCGUGCGGGAUGACGGCCUUCGGGUUGUAAACCGCUUUCGCCUGUGACGAAGCGUGAGUGACGGUAAUGGGUAAAGAAGCACCGGCUAACUACGUG
rnacentral:rRNA from 1 species